rnacentral:rRNA from 1 species
AGCAGUAGCCGCGGUUAAUACGAAGGGUGCAAGCGUUACUCGGAAUUACUGGGCGUAAAGCGUGCGUAGGUGGUGGUUUAAGUCCGUUGUGAAAGCCCUGGGCUCAACCUGGGAAUUGCAGUGGAUACUGGGUCACUAGAGUGUGGUAGAGGAUAGUGGAAUUUCCGGUGUAGCAGUGAAAUGCGUAGAGAUCGGAAGGAACAUCUGUGGCGAAGGCGACUAUCUGGGGCAACACUGACGCUGAGGCACGAAAGCGUGGGGAGCAAACAGGAUUAGAUACCCCCGUAGUCCCUGUCUCUUAUU